GAAAAAGCGAUGAUGAGAAGAGUACUUGCGCCCAAGCAUAACAGAGAACUCCAGAUGGUGGGAAUGGAGGAUGUAAUGGCACAAGGAAACAAGCCUCUGAGCUGUACAAAGGAUCUUUCAACAAGAAAGUGAUGUUGUACCGGUUUCUCCCGUUAUAGAGAUAGAGUAUAAUCAUCUUUAAAUGACGUACUUGAAAAGGUUAUUGUAGUGAUACAAUAACAAACUGGGGUGGCACCGCGAAACUUCUAACAAUUCGAAGUCUCGUCCCCAAG
rnacentral:ncRNA from 1 species